UACGGAGGGGGCUAGCGUUGUUCGGAAUUACUGGGCGUAAAGCGCGCGUAGGCGGCUUUGUAAGUUAGAGGUGAAAGCCCGGAGCUCAACUCCAGAACUGCCUUUGAUACUGGCGAUCUUGAGUCCGGGAGAGGUGAGUGGAACUGCGAGUGUAGAGGUGAAAUUCGUAGAUAUUCGCAAGAACACCAGUGGCGAAGGCGGCUCACUGGCCCGGUACUGACGCUGAGGUGCGAAAGCGUGGGGAGCAAACAGG
rnacentral:rRNA from 1 species